rnacentral:rRNA from 1 species
GAUGAACGCUGGCGGCGUGCCUAAUACAUGCAAGUCGAGCGAACAGACGAGGAGCUUGCUCCUCUGACGUUAGCGGCGGACGGGUGAGUAACACGUGGAUAACCUACCUAUAAGACUGGGAUAACUUCGGGAAACCGGAGCUAAUACCGGAUAAUAUAUUUAACCGCAUGGUUCAAUAGUGAAAGACGGUUUUGCUGUCACUUAUAGAUGGAUCCGCGCCGCAUUAGCUAGUUGGUAAGGUAACGGCUUACCAAGGCAACGAUGCGUAGCCGACCUGAGGGGGUGAUCGGACACACUGGAACUGAGACAAGGUCCAGACUCCUACGGGAGGCAGCAGUAGGGAAUCUUCCGCAAUGGGCGAAAGCCUGACGGAGCAACGCCGCGUGAGUGAUGAAGGUCUUCGGAUCGUAAAACUCUGUUAUUAGGGAAGAACAAAUGUGUAAGUAACUAUGCACGUCUUGACGGUACCUAAUCAGAAAGCCACGGCUAACUACGUG